GACGAACGCUGGCGGCGUGCUUAACACAUGCAAGUCGAACGAAGUGGCGAACGGGUGAGUAACGAGUAAUCAACCUGCCCUUCAGAGGGGGACAACAGUUGGAAACGACUGCUAAUACCGAAUACAGAAGGCGGGGAUUGGGUCUGAUUAGCAAGUUGGAGGGGUAACGGCCCACCAAGGCGAUGAUCAGUAGCCGUGCUGAGAGGAUGAACGGCCACAUUGGGACUGAGACCCGGCCCAGACUCCUACGGGAGGCAGCAGUGGGGAAUCUUCCGCAAUGGACGAAAGUCUGACGGAGCAACGCCGCGUGAGUGAUGACGGCCUUCGGGUUGUAAAGCUCUGUUAAUCGGGACGCGGUACCGGAAUAGAAAGCCACGGCUAACUACGUGCCAGCAGCCGCGGUAAUAC
rnacentral:rRNA from 1 species